rnacentral:rRNA from 1 species
GAUUAACGCUGGCGGCGUGCCUAACACAUGCAAGUCGAGCGGCAGCGAGUUUUACACUGAAUUCUGGAAGCUUCUAGUUGAAAGAGAAGAUUUAUUCAAGAAUUUUGUGUAAAAUGUCGGCGAGCGGCGGACGGCUGAGUAACGCGUGGGAACGUACCCCAAAGUGAGGGAUAACGCAUCGAAAGGUGUGCUAAUACCGCAUAUGGUCUUCGGAUUAAAGCCUUCGGGCGCUUUGGGAACGGCCUGCGUAAGAUUAGAUAGUUGGUGGGGUAAUGGCCUACCAAGGCGACGAUCUGUACCUGGGUUGAGAGGAUGAGCCGACACUCUGGCACUGGGACACGGUCCAGACUCCUACGGGAGGCAGCAGUGAGUAAUCUACCAAAAUGGGCGAAAGCCUGAUGGAGCAACGCCGCGUGCAGGAUGAAGGCCUUCGGGUUGUAAACUGCUUUUAUAAGUGAGGAUUAUGACAGUACCUUAUGAAUAAGGAUCGGCCAACUACGUG